AUUGAACGCUGGCGGCAGGCCUAACACAUGCAAGUCGAACGGUAACAGGAAGAAGCUUGCUUCUUUGCUGACGAGUGGCGGACGGGUGAGUAAUGUCUGGGAAACUGCCUGAUGGAGGGGGAUAACUACUGGAAACGGUAGCUAAUACCGCAUAACGUCGCAAGCCCAAAGAGGGGGACCUUCGGGCCUCUUGCCAUCGGAUGUGCCCAGAUGGGAUUAGCUAGUAGGUGGGGUAACGGCUCACCUAGGCGACGAUCCCUAGCUGGUCUGAGAGGAUGACCAGCCACACUGGAACUGAGACACGGUCCAGACUCCUACGGGAGGCAGCAGUGGGGAAUAUUGCACAGUGGGCGCAAGCCUGAUGCAGCCAUGCCGCGUGUAUGAAGAAGGCCUUCGGGUUGUAAAGUACUUUCAGCGGGGAGGAAGGGAGUAAAGUUAAUACCUUUGCUCAUUGACGUUACCCGCAGAAGAAGCACCGGCUAACUCCGUG
rnacentral:rRNA from 1 species